rnacentral:rRNA from 1 species
CCUACGGGUGGCUGCAGUGGGGAAUUUUGGACAAUGGGGGAAACCCUGAUCCAGCCAUGCCGCGUGCGGGAAGAAGGCCUUCGGGUUGUAAACCGCUUUCGGACGGAAAGAAAUCGCACGGACUAAUACUCUGUGUGGAUGACGGUACCGUAAGAAGAAGCACCGGCUAACUACGUGCCAGCAGCCGCGGUAAUACGUAGGGUGCGAGCGUUGAUCGGAGUUCCUGGGCGUAAUCCGUAGGCAGGCGGUUAAGCCCCGGGCUUAACCUGGGAACUGCGGUUGGAACUGGGAGACUAGAGUGUGGCAGAGGGAGGUGGAAUUCCGCGUGUAGCAGUGAAAUGCGUAGAUAUGCGGAGGAACACCGAUGGCGAAGGCAGCCUCCUGGGAUAACACUGACGCUCAUGCACGAAAGCGUGGGGAGCAAACAGGAUUAGAUACCCCAGUAGUC